AUCUACAGCCAUACCAUCCUGAAAGCGCAGGAUCCCGUCAGAUCUCAAAUGCAAUCAAGGGUAGGGCUUGUUCAGUACCAGUGUGGGUGACUGACUGGGAAUCGCAAGUGCUGUAGACC
rnacentral:rRNA from 1 species